GGAUUCCGUGACGCAGCUAACGCAUUAAGUUCCCCGCCUGGGGAGUACGGCCGCAAGGCUAAAACUCAAAGGAAUUGACGGGGACCCGCACAAGCGGCGGAGCAUGCGGAUUAAUUCGAUGCAACGCGAAGAACCUUACCAAGGCUUGACAUAUACGAGAACGGGCCAGAAAUGGUCAACUCUUUGGACACUCGUAAACAGGUGGUGCAUGGUUGUCGUCAGCUCGUGUCGUGAGAUGUUGGGUUAAGUCCCGCAACGAGCGCAACCCUCGUUCUAUGUUGCCAGCACGUAAUGGUGGGAACUCAUGGGAUACUGCCGGGGUCAACUCGGAGGAAGGUGGGGAUGACGUCAAAUCAUCAUGCCCCUUAUGUCUUGGGCUUCACGCAUGCUACAAUGGCCGGUACAAAGGGCUGCAAUACCGCGAGGUGGAGCGAAUCCCAAAAAGCCGGUCCCAGUUCGGAUUGAGGUCUGCAACUCGACCUCAUGAAGUCGGAGUCGCUAGUAAUCGCGGAUCAGCAACGCUGCGGGAAACU
rnacentral:rRNA from 1 species